CGCAUAGCUAUUAUAAUUUACAAUCAAAAUGUAAUUAACAUCGUACUCGAACCUAUACAUGCCAUAAGAUUGAGUUCAAAUAUUUAACAAAAUACCAAAAGAAGUCGAUAGUGUGAUGGACUAUGCUGAUGAUCCCCGAGCUCGUAACGCGUCUCCAAAAUCUAUAAAAGCAAAUGGACGAAAACAAACAAAGUAAGCUUUUAUAGCUUAGUAAGUCUACAGCAUAACUAAAUGUAUAUAAAUAUAUAAAUAAAGUUACUUUUUAAUCUAUUUCACUGAGAUUUCAAUUAACACGAAUAACUAAUAUUUAUAUAUUAUUGUACUCAGACCAUUUCAUUUAUAGACAGAUAUGCAUACCUGUCGAAAGCGAUCAAUUGAAUAUAUAUUUUUAUACCAAACAACAUUACAACGAAUGUAUA
rnacentral:lncRNA from 1 species